rnacentral:rRNA from 1 species
GAACGUGCCCUUCUCUAAGGAAUAGCCACUGGAAACGGUGAGUAAUACCUUAUACGCCCUUCGGGGGAAAGAUUUAUCGGAGAAGGAUCGGCCCGCGUUAGAUUAGAUAGUUGGUGGGGUAACGGCCUACCAAGUCUACGAUCUAUAGCUGGUUUUAGAGGAUGAUCAGCAACACUGGGACUGAGACACGGCCCAGACUCCUACGGGAGGCAGCAGUGGGGAAUCUUGGACAAUGGGGGCAACCCUGAUCCAGCCAUGCCGCGUGAGUGAUGAAGGCCUUAGGGUCGUAAAGCUCUUUCGCCUGUGAUGAUAAUGACAGUAGCAGGUAAAGAAACCCCGGCUAACUCCGUGCCAGCAGCCGCGGUAAUACGGAGGGGGUUAGCGUUGUUCGGAAUUACUGGGCGUAAAGCGCGCGUAGGCGGACCAGAAAGUUGGGGGUGAAAUCCCGGGGCUCAACCCCGGAACUGCCUCCAAAACUCCUGGUCUUGAGUUCGAGAGAGGUGAGUGGAAUUCCGAGUGUAGAGGUGAAAUUCGUAGAUAUUCGGAGGAA